AUGCAGAUUUGUUAUCUUCAAGCAAAGCUAAAUAGUGAAGAGGAUGAGCAUCCAGAGUAUAUCAUCCGCGGAACACCUGGCAGGAUCCAGCACUGUGGAGAGCUUGAUGAUCACUGUUACUGGGGUAAUGAGGUUAAGUUAUAUCAAUGGCACGUAGGCGCUCUCUUUGCUAUGUUCUUGCGCAAAAAGCCAGGCAUCAACUACUAUGUGUGCACAAUCAAUAAAACAUUUGCCAAGCUAGGCCAGCGCAUGAACCUGCUGGACUACAUUGAUCCACAUAAUGAUACACUCAUGGUCAAGCUUGCAAAUGGGUGUCUGCUUGCCAGAUGUCGCAUCAUGCUAGAAACUGACAAGAGGACAACCAUAACCACCGUCUGGUCCGAGUUUCGUCGCCGCGCCAACAUUCGCGAAGGAGAUGUUUGCGUUGCUAUUUGA
rnacentral:rRNA from 1 species